UUUUUUUUCUUCACAUUUUUGACGUGCUGUUCAUACAGAAAUGCAGUUCCCUGGUACACUAUUAACCUAGACUUACCACCAAAGCAAAGAUGGACUCAAGUUGGCCAGGAGAAGAAAGCAGGGAUAAAGAAACUGCUGGUUUCCUUCAUUGAUUUUGCCAAAGCAUGGAGUGAGAAUGCUACAGGGAAAGUGGUCGAUUUCCUUAUCAGGGAAGGGGGCAAAAUAGACGAUACUCUCCCCCAGCCCUAUGCAGAUGAAAUGAGGGGGUUGGCUGAGGCGACAGGGAUACCACUUGGUAUGCUUUAGAUAUAUGCUUUGUGAAUACAGUGAAUUCUCCUGCUGGAAUUAAGAUAUAAUUUGGUACAUAUUCCAAUCAUCUGAGAAGUCCUUCGGGCUUCACAGGAUUUGAUCAGGAGAAAUAGUGCUGUACAACAUUUUCUAUGAACUUUUCACUGUGUGUACCUCCAUCGUAGCAGAAGAUCCAUCUGGAAAACUUUUCCAUGUACGAAAUCUGGAUUUUGGUCUAUUUUUGGGAUGGGAUGUUAAAACUAAGACAUGGGAAAUAACGGAUGCCCUGCGUCCUACUGUGGUUAACUUGGAUUUCCAAAAGGGAGGAAAAACUGUCUUCAAAUCUGUGAACUUUGCAGGAUACAUUGGUAUCCUUACAGCUGUGAAACCAGGAAUGUUCACACUAACAAUGAAUGAAAGAUUCAACAUGGAUGGUGGAUACAUAGGUGUACUUGAGUGGAUUCUGGGGAUCAGGACAGGGAAAUGGAUGGGUUUCCUGACCAGAGAGACAAUGGAAAAAGCUGAGUCCUACCAAGAGGCUGUAGCCAUGUUGUCCCAGACAGAAAUGCUGGCUCCUGCAUAUUUCAUUGUUGGAGGCAACAAGUCAGGGGAGGGCUGUGUGAUCACCAGGUCUCGUGAGAAAGCUAUUGAUGUGUGGAGGAUGGAUCAAGCAAAUAACUGGUACAUCCUGGAGACAAAUUACGACCAUUGGGAAAAUCCCCUCUUCUUGGAUGACCGCAGAACUCCGGCUCACAAGUGUAUGCAGAAAACUACCUCCAAGAAUGUGUCAAUCAAAGGACUGUUUAAUGUAUUGUCCUCAAAACCUGUUUUAAAUAAGUUGACGACUUACUCCGCACUGAUGCAGGUGAACUCGGGACAUCUGGAGAGCUGGUUACAGUACUGUCCAGAUCCAUGUCAGCCAUUUUAAAUCUUGACACCGGAAGUCAGAAGCAGACAACAUGCAUUCCAAGCAAUUACUGUGAUAUUUGUAAACAGUGUACUCAAACACACAUAAUACUCAUACAAGGUGUAUAUAUAAGAUCCAAUCAUUACAAUCAAUGCACUUAUAUUGAUUAUUAUAAGUAGAGAUAUUGAAAUGUGGCAUGUAUGGGUGGUUGUGUCUUCCUUAUUUGUUUAAGGAUUGUAUGAAUGACUUGCAAUAUUUUUGUUGAUUAUUUUAAGUUAUUUGAAUACUUACACAGUAAUUAAUAGGUGAAUAUGUUGUAUGAUUAUAAUUAUUUUAUGAUCUGAUUAAACUACAUGUAUGAUAUG
rnacentral:misc_RNA from 1 species